rnacentral:rRNA from 1 species
GACGUAGGGCGCGAGCGUUGUCCGGAUUUAUUGGGCGUAAAGAGCUCGUAGGCGGCUUGUUGCGUCGACCGUGAAAACCCGCGGCUUAACUGCGGGCUUGCGGUUGAUACGGGCGGGCUGGAGUUCGGUAGGGGAGACUGGAAUUCCUGGUGUAGCGGUGAAAUGCGCAGAUAUCAGGAGGAACACCGGUGGCGAAGGCGGGUCUCUGGACAGUUCCUGACGCUGAGGCACGAAGGCCAGGGGAGCAAACGGG